UUCCGACAAACCUGGUGAUGAGUGAAGACCUGAGAGCUGAACCAGACCAGCUGAUGGCUGAAUACUAGUACAGCACUGGAUAAUUUUUAAACAUGAUAAAUUUGCCAUUUACAGUCAGGCUUCAGGAGGAGUCUGUUUGAGAACCCAAAGUGGCUACCAUGAACACUGCGGCGCUUCAGCGUCCGGAGGCUCCGAGCUCUUUGUGAUGGUACCAGGGAAGAGGAAGACUGCGGUAAAAAAGAAAACCAACCUCCGUCCAUGCCAGUUAAAAACAGCUGGAAUGGAGAAAGUUUCCGGUGAAAUGUUCUUCAUUCUUGCUGGAUUGAAUGAGACAAGGGGAGACAAAAACAUCUACUUUGGCUUUUCUUUUGUGUCCUACCUCUGUACGCUUUUUGUAAAUCUGUCUCUCAUACUAAUCAUUUCCACAGAGAAGAUUCUCCAUGAGCCCAUGUUCAUCUUCCUGUGUAAUCUCUGUGUUAAUGGCAUUUUUGGGGCUACUAGUUUCUACCCCAAGAUUCUCAUUGACCUCAUGUCAGAUUCUUACGUUAUUUCAUACACCGCAUGUAUAGUUCAAAUUUUUGCAGUCCACACUUAUUUCAUGUCUGAACUGACCAAUCUGACAGUGAUGGCUUAUGACAGGUAUGUUGCAAUUUGCAAACCACUGGAGUAUCACUCCAUCAUGACACCACGGAGGCUGAGGAACCUGAUAUUACUGGGUUGGUUAUUUCCUUUAUCUGAAGCACUGACAGGAAUAUAUCUGACGGUCAGGCUGCCUCUGUGUGGCAUUAGGAUUGAAAAAGUUUACUGCUCCAACUGGGAUGUGGUGAGGUUAUCCUGUGUUGAUUAUACUUUGAACAAUGUUCAUGGCUACGCUGUCAUGAUUUUGCAGUUUGUUCAAUUUGGGCUAACUGUGGUCUCUUACAAUCACAUCAUCAGGGCAUCCAUAAGAUCCAGGGCAGAACAGAAGAAGUUCAUGGAGACCUGCCUGCCCCACCUGCUCACUCUGAUAAACUUCAUUCUGUCUAUCUUUUUUGACGUCAUGUACGCACGCUAUGGCUCCAGCAGCAGCCUUCUGCCCCUCCGUAACGUGCUCUCUAUAGAGUACCUCGUCGUUCCUCCCCUGUUGAACCCCCUCAUUUACGGCCUCAAGCUGAAGCAGAUUCGUCGCAGUGUCUGGAGGCUGCUGUAUAGAAAAGUCAGUGUGCUGACAUAGAUCUCUCGUUAACUGUUACGGAAACUAUGAAAGUGGAUCAACAUUUUGUCUGACUGUUGGCGUAUCUCUUCUCUGUGAAGUUAUUAAAAUCAUAUUUAGAUACCAUGUCUGUAAGGUAGUGAUGUCAGGAACAUGUGCGCUGAUUCCCUCUUCUCCGUGUGGGGGGGGGGCUCUGCACUCCCUGGGAUGCUCUGGUUUCCCCUGGAUGCUGAGGAUUCCUACUGCUGUCCAAUCAUGUGAAGUGAGGGGAUCUGGCGUCUCUAAAUCACCCAUAGCAUGUGACUGUCUGAGAGUGUCAAUAAGCGCAUGUUACAGUGAACUGGAGUCCCAUCCAGUAUCUACCCUGGCCUGGUGCCAUAUUCCCCCUGUGAUUGGCUACAGCCCCACCCUGCCACAACCCACAACACAUCUGUUGCUGUUGUGCUGGUAAAGAUUAGCCUUCUCACAGCUCAGGGCUAAAAGGUAAAGCCACACGCGGUACUUACAGUGCAGCUCAGUCCACACUGUAUUCUGCAGUGACGACAGCACUAAGUGGGCCUACAGCUGCCUGCCAAAGGGUGAAGAGGCAGUGAUAUUUACCAAGCUGCUGAUUUUUGUGAGGUGAUUAAAAAAGUGUAUGGUCUCCUUGGUAACAGUCCCAUAGGUAACAUUUCCCCAUUCAAACUAAAUCCCAAAAUAAGCAAAAGGCUGAAUUUUCUGUACAUUCGCAUGAUUCUUGUAUGUUAUUUGUACAGUGUGGAGCCUCCUUUUAAUAAAGUUUUACAG